rnacentral:rRNA from 1 species
AUUGAACGCUGGCGGCAGGCUUAACACAUGCAAGUCGAGCGGAGAUGAGGUGCUUGCACCUUAUCUUAGCGGCGGACGGGUGAGUAAUGCUUAGGAAUCUGCCUAUUAGUGGGGGACAACAUUCCGAAAGGAAUGCUAAUACCGCAUACGUCCUACGGGAGAAAGCAGGGGAUCUUCGGACCUUGCGCUAAUAGAUGAGCCUAAGUCGGAUUAGCUAGUUGGUGGGGUAAAGGCCUACCAAGGCGACGAUCUGUAGCGGGUCUGAGAGGAUGAUCCGCCACACGGGGACUGGGACACGGCCCAGACUCCUACGGGAGGCAGCAGUGGGGAAUAUUGGACAAUGGGGGGAACCCUGAUCCAGCCAUGCCGCGUGUGUGAAGAAGGCCUUAUGGUUGUAAAGCACUUUAAGCGAGGAGGAGGCUCUUUUGGUUAAUACCCAAGAUGAGUGGACGUUACUCGCAGAAUAAGCACCGGCUAACUCUGUGCCAGCCGCCGCCGUAACAC